CCUACGGGAGGCAGCAGUGGGGAAUAUUGCGCAAUGGGCGAAAGCCUGACGCAGCGACGCCGCGUGAGGGAUGAAGGUCCUCGGAUCGUAAAACUCUGUCAGCAGGGAAGAACGGUCACUUUGCUAAUCAGCAGUGAAUUGACGGUACCUGCAAAGGAAGCACCGGCUAAUGCCGUGCCAGCAGCUGCGGCAAUACGGAGGGUGCGAGUGUUAAUUGGUAUGACUGGGCGUAAAGCGCUCGUAGGCGGUAUGUCAAGUCAAGGGUGAAAUCCCCGGGCUCAACGUGGGAACUGCCUUUGAAACUGGCAAACUAGAGUGUGUGGGAGGAUAGUGGAAUUCCAGGUGUAGGAGUGAAAUCCGUAGAUAUCUGGAAGAACAUCAAUGGCGAAGGCAACUAUCUGGCACAUAACUGACGCUGAGGAGCGAAAGCGUGGGUAGCAAACAGGAUUAGAUACCCUUGUAGUC
rnacentral:rRNA from 1 species